AUUGAACGCUGGCGGCAUGCUUUACACAUGCAAGUCGAACGGUAACAGGCCUUCGGGUGCUGACGAGUGGCGAACGGGUGAGUAAUGCAUCGGAACGUGCCCAGAGGUGGGGGAUAACGCAGCGAAAGCUGUGCUAAUACCGCAUGUGAUCUGAGGAUGAAAGCGGGGGACCAGGCAGCAAUGUUUGGCCUCGCGCCUUUGGAGCGGCCGAUGUCAGAUUAGGUAGUUGGUGGGGUAAAGGCCUACCAAGCCGACGAUCUGUAGCUGGUCUGAGAGGACGACCAGCCACACUGGGACUGAGACACGGCCCAGACUCCUACGGGAGGCAGCAGUGGGGAAUUUUGGACAAUGGGCGCAAGCCUGAUCCAGCAAUGCCGCGUGCGUGAAGAAGGCCUUCGGGUUGUAAACCGCUUUUGUACGGAACGAAAAGGCUCUGGCUAAUACCUGGGGCUGAUGACGGUACCGUAAGAAUAAGCACCGGCUAACUACGUG
rnacentral:rRNA from 1 species